GAUGAACGCUAGCGGGAGGCCUAACACAUGCAAGCCGAGCGGUAGAGCUUCUUCGGAAUCUUGAGCGCGGCGUACGGGUGCGUAACACGUGUGCAACCUGCCUUUAUCAGGGGGAUAGCCUUUCGAAAGGAAGAUUAAUACCCCAUAAUAUAUUUGAUGGCAUCAUUAGAGAUUGAUAGCUUUGUCGGAUAGAGAUGGGCACGCGCGAGAUUAGCUAGUUGGUGAGGUAACGGCUCACCUAGUCGGGGAUCGAUAGGGGGCCUGCGAGGGGGGUCCCCCACACGGGGACUGAGACACGGACCAGAGUCCUACGGGAGGCAGCAGUGAGGAAUAUAGGAGAAGGGAGUAGCGCCUGAUCCAGCCAUCCCGGGUGAAGGACGACGGCGUUAGGGGUGGUAGACUUCUUUUGGACAGGGAUAUACCUACUCUCGUGAGAGUAGCUGAAGGUACUGGAUGAAUAAGCACCGGCUAACUCCGUG
rnacentral:rRNA from 1 species